GAUUCGACUCGUUUGCUUCCAUCAAUCGUAGCCAACAACAUCCAUUUUCCUGCAGCAGUAACCUCCAACCCCUGUUGGCAAUGCCGGGGGACAGCAUUAACAGCAGCAGCAGCAGAAUUUGACCAUGGUAUGGUAUUGCGAAGAACUUUCCCCAUUAGAGGUUCCGUGCUUCGCGCACAUUCAAAAAUCCUCUUCAGACACGAAAACUAAACGACAAGGAGGUAUUUAUCAACUUGCUCAGCUGAAUUACCACCCGGAGGAACCCGAAUGCACUGAUUCCGUUGUAGAGUAGAAUGAAAAUAGGCGAGGUAAGCGAACGUAAUCGCAUGGUAUUUUAAUGUUCGCAUUUUUAUCCGGAUCAUACAACUGCUAUGAAUACAUCCGACUCAAUCAAUCGGCGAAUGAGAAAGAUGAUUUCCCUCAUCACCACAUUGCUUAUUUCCACUUCUGUCACACCAGCCAACAGCAUCAGCUUUCCCGCAGCAGUAUCCUUUAAGUCCAGGGUGCUAUUCCGGGGAACAGCAUCAACAGCAACAGCAGCAGGACCUGGCCAUCGAUAGUAUUUCGAGCAAUUUUCCCCAUUGGAGAUCCCGUGCUUCACGCACAUUGAAGAAUCCUCCUCAGCCACAUAUCUGUGUCAUCAAGGGCAAGGAGGUAUUCAUCAAUGUACUCAGUCGGAUUUGAAUCGUCAAUCCAGACAACCCGGAUGCACCGAUU